UGGCGGUGUCUGCGCGCACACGCUCGCUCGCAGACACACACACACACGCACACGCGGGCCACGCCACAGACACACGACACGCACUGAGCCCCGGCCGGGCGCCGCGCACACUCGCACCCGCGCUCACACUCACUCGCGCGCAGGCUCCGCAGCCGCCGCCGCCGCCGGAAGCGGCGCUCGGCCCGGAUCCCGGCUGGGCUGGGGGAGAGGACCUGGGUGAGAAGCUGCCGCCCGCCUGAGCUGGACCAGGACCCGAGACCCCAUUGCUCCUGCUGCUGCCGCCUGCCGCUGCUGCGGGGGGGCCCCCCUGAGACCAGGCCAGGGAUAGAGCCUCACGGUCUGGAGGGCCCCCUUAGCCCGCAGCCAUCGAGCAGAGACGACUGGCCGCCCUGAGCGCAAUUCAAUUCAACAGACAUUUACUGAGUGCCUACUAUGCGCCAGGCCUUAGGCUAGGCACUGGGGUGGGGAGCAGAGAGGAAGAUGUGGUCCCAUCCUCAGGUAGCUCCGGGCUGGGGGAGGGCCUCGGAGAAGACUGGUAAGGGCUGAAUGGCUUGACACCAGGAGAGAAGCUGCAUGCAGAGCUGGAAGCAGCAGGGAUACCUGGGUUCAAGUGCAUCCCUGGAGAGCUGCUCGUCUGUGCCUCAGUUUACCCAUCUGUAAAACCGGGGGCAGGGGUGAGGUGGAGUGAGACGAUCUCUAGGAUCCUUCCAAGAUUCCAUGGGGAUGGAAUCAAGGGAUGGGGGCAGGGCAGGGAGACCACUGUUCUCCCUGCACAGAGGAAAUCUGAAGGCUUCUCGGAGGAUAAG